rnacentral:rRNA from 1 species
UGCGUAGGCGGUAUUGUGUGUCGAAUGUGAAAGCUCACGGCUUACCCGUGGAAUUGCAUCCGAAACUGCAGUACUAGAGUAUGGGAGAGGUGAGCGGAAUUCUUGGUGUAGCGGUGAAAUGCGUAGAUAUCAAGAGGAACACCGGCGGCGAAAGCGGCUCACUGGACCAAUACUGACGCUGAGGCACGAAAGCUAGGGUAGCCAACAGGAUUAGAUACCCUGGUAGUCC